CACCCCCGGAUCUCCAGCCCACCGCCGGGAGGCAUCGGCUCGGCAGCGGCAAAGGCCGGCCGUAACGAAAGGCUGUGAUAUCGGCUGAGCCCCCAGUCUCCCUCAUCAGAUCUGUGCUCCAAACACUGGGAUGCAAGAGGAAAAGAGGGAUGCACAUCCCCUGCCAUCUGUGCCGUGAUGCAGCUGAAGGAGGAAUUCCCAAUCCAGGGCUGUGCCACCAUGCGUGGUCUGGGCAGGAGGAGGACACGUGGCCUGAGGAUGAGCCCCAAGCAGAGAAGGGCUGCUCAUCAAAGCGGCAAACUGAGCUAUUUUGGGAGGUUGGGGUUUGGCUUUGCUUAACACGACGGAGACGUCGCUGCAUCUGCUCUGCCCUGGCUGGGUGGGAAGCUGUGCUGAAUCCUGGGCACUAAUUCUGUAUUCCACAGGGCAGAUCUGGAAGUGGAGCUGGGAAAGCAGCUCAGGGCUGAUGACAGACUGAGGACAACUUAAUCACAGGCUUAAGAGAGGAGUCUGAGGGUCACAGAGAAAAGAAUGUUGCAAAAAAAAAAAAAAAAAGACUUUUGAUCAGAAGAAUUUGCUGGUUAAGCAUCAGAAAGAGAUGAGAAGAUCUCCUCCAGAAGACGGAUGUGACUUUUCCAUGCAGGACCAGGGGCAACAGGAAUGCCCUUCUUGGAACUAGCUCAUUCCUCUGCAUCCCUCCAAUGUGGGGCUGCAAGGAGCAAUUGGGCUCAGGUGCAUUCCUGAAUGAAUUCUGCAAGGAGCAGCUGGAUUCAGAUAGUUCCUGGCCUAAUUCUCAAGGAGCAGUUGGGCUCAAGUGGUUCCUGGUUUAACUCUGCAAGGAGCAGUUGGGCUCAGGUGGUUCCUGGUUUAAUUCUCAAGGAGCAGUUGGGCUCAAGUGGUUCCUGGUUUAACUCUGCAAGGAGCAGUUGGGCUCAGGUGGUUCCUGAGCAAAGUGACAAAAAAAAAAAAAAGCUGAAUCCCCGACAAUAGAAAAACCUGACUUGAUCAUAAAGAGGCUUCUAAAAUACAAUUCUACACGUAAAGUUCUGCCAGAAUCGGCUCAGAUGAGUCAAGCAAACAGCUUGUUUGUUGUGUUUAACGUGCAGGAAGCAUCAGACUGAUUACAGACAUUAAACACAUUCAUACACGGCACCACCGAGCAGCCGUUGUCACCACAGCCGACGCUUCCCAGCCUUCGUCAUUCCCGAAGAAACCCCGGGAUGACAGCGCAGGCCGGCAGGUAACUCAAGCAAUAUUCCAGCAGCGCUUACCUUGUGCAGAGG